rnacentral:rRNA from 1 species
AUAACCCCGGGAAACUGGGGAUAAUUCCGGAUAACGCACAUAUGCUGGAAUGCUUUAUGCGUAAAAUGGAUUCGUCUGCCCAAGGAUGGGUCUGCGGCCUAUCAGGUAGUAGUGGGUGUAAUGUACCUACUAGCCAACAACGGGUACGGGUUGUGAGAGCAAGAGCCCGGAGAUGGAUUCUGAGACAUGAAUCCAGGCCCUACGGGGCGCAGCAGGCGCGAAAACUUUACAAUGCGGGAAACCGUGAUAAGGGGACACCGAGUGCCAGCAUCAUAUGCUGGCUGUCCAGGUGUGUAAACUACACCUGUUAGCAAGGGCCGGGCAAGACCGGUGCCAGCCGCCGCGGUAACACCGGCGGCCCGAGUGGUGAUCGUGAUUAUUGGGUCUAAAGGGUCCGUAGCCGGUUUGGUCAGUCCUCCGGGAAAUCUGAUAGCUCAACUAUUAGGCUUUCGGGGGAUACUGCCAGGCUUGGAACCGGGAGAGGUAAGAGGUACUACAGGGGUAGGAGUGAAAUCUUGUAAUCCCUGUGGGACCACCUGUGGCGAAGGCGUCUUACCAGAACGGGUUCGACGGUGAGGGACGAAAGCUGGGGGCACGAACCGGAUUAGAUACCCGGGUAGUCCCAGCCGUAAACGAUGCUCGCUAGGUGUCAGGCAUGGCGCGACCGUGUCUGGUGCCGCAGGGAAGCCGUGAAGCGAGCCACCUGGGAAGUACG